rnacentral:rRNA from 1 species
UACGGAGGGUGCAAACGUUGCUCGGAAUCAUUGGGCGUAAAGCGCGUGUAGGCGGCUUUGCAAGUCGGAUGUGAAAGCCCACGGCUCAACCGUGGAAGUGCAUCCGAAACUGCAUGGCUCGAGUCUCGGAGAGGAAGGUGGAAUGCUUGGUGUAGAGGUGAAAUUCGUAGAUAUCCAGCAGAACACCGGUGGCGAAGGCGGCAUCCUGGACCGGCAUUGACGCUGAGGCGCGAAAGCUAGGGGAGCAAACGGG